UAUGCAUAAAAAGUUUUCUAAGAUUUCUCAAUAAUCAAAUGAAUGUAAGAGGAGCCUUCUAGACACAUAUAUUAUGGUUUGUUUUGCAUGUUAAUCACUGUUUUCAUGUAGCAAGUAGAGAAUAUUGGUUAAUUAGGUGAAUUUAUUAAAUAGUGAUCAGUUAAGAAAGUCUUUAGUGUAAUGAUAAUAGUUAACAUAAAUAAGAACUUCCUAUGAGCUUUCAAAUAGAUUAAUUCUCUUAAUUCUCUCAAUAACCAUAUGAAGUAUGUUCUCUUAUUAUUCCCUGCUUUACAGAUCAGGAAACCGACACACACAGAGAGUUUCACGGAUGCUACAUGAGACUCCUGAGUUGGAGACACAAGACUUUCUCACUUGUGGCACGGCAGGCAAAUGAGCUGCCUGUUUGCAUCGGUUCCUCGUGCCCCUACAGUUUCAUAGGAGCAACGUGGAGUGGCCGAGAAAGAAGAUUCACCACAAUUUUCAAAGGAGAAAAGGGGCGUUGUGCAGAAGUGGAUAAUCCCAGAGGUGUACAGCAUGAGCCUACAUUGCUAUACACCUUAAUAUGGUAUCCAUCUCCCCCUAUGAUGUCACAUAAGACUAUACGUAACUAGCAAACCAGGAGCAAAAUUAACAUCCAGAGUCCAAGCAACCUUUGCCUCACUCAAUUCAUUAAUGUAUAUAUCUUAAAAAAUAAUCUACUUGGUAUUAAGUUUGUAAAAUGUUAUCUAAUUUUGAUUAAAGAGAAAGAUGGAGCACUGUUAUAUUAUCAAAAUAAACCCCUCUUCAUAAAAACACUGAAUUAGGGAUUUUCAAUAUGUUGGGAUAUUAAAUUGCUUUGAUGACAGAGCACACAUCUAUAAAGGAAUUUACAUUUUACUGGAGUCUUGUUUUUUGCAUCUCCUCCAAUAGUUCUGUUUAAACAGAUGUACCACAGAUGUGAACACAUCUGGCAGGUCAACACAAUUCUUCCAUGACCAUACUCAGGUUAGGAUUGUGCAUUUUUUGACAUCUAAUUGUUAAGCAAGGACCCUUCCCUGGAAAAAGCUUAGUACAUUGCAUCAAAUGAUACAUUUCCACUUGCUUCUCCUCUCUAAUAAGUAUUUUCACAUGUGCUCACUGGAAACGUUUUGGUGCCCAUGGUUACUUUUUAUUUGUUUUAGAAAUGUCUAUAUAAUUCUCAUUGGCCUUUUAGUAAUCACCUACUCAAGCGUUAGGAAUAGGUUGAAUGAAAAUCAACAGAUUGAUUUCAGUCACUUUCGGUUUUUUCUUUUCUAAAGGGUUUUGUGGAUCCAUUCAAAUUACAAGAAAAUUGUUUCAACUGUAC
rnacentral:lncRNA from 1 species